UUACGUGUAUUUAUAUCCGAAUUACAGCAUAAAAACUCCCAAAAAUGAAAAUUCUUUAAAAUCCUAAAAAUGGCUCAAAAUGUGUGGCGAUGAUAUAGUAAGAAAUCAAAUCAAAAAAGCAGCAAAAAAGGUGUCGUGUGAUUUUUCAAUUAAAUCAUUUUUUCUGGUAGAAAACGUCGUCCCUGUUUUUAUAAAAUAAUGAAAUUGUGAAAUUGUAUGUUUUCCCA